rnacentral:rRNA from 1 species
UCUAAGUUUGAUGGCGACCGGCGCACGGGUGAGUAACACGUAUCCAACCUGCCGAUGACUCGGGGAUAGCCUUUCGAAAGAAAGAUUAAUACCCGAUGGCAUAGUUCUUCCGCAUGGUAGAACUAUUAAAGAAUUUCGGUCAUCGAUGGGGAUGCGUUCCAUUAGGUUGUUGGCGGGGUAACGGCCCACCAAGCCUUCGAUGGAUAGGGGUUCUGAGAGGAAGGUCCCCCACAUUGGAACUGAGGCACGGUCCAAACUCCUACGGGAGGCAGCAUG